UACGAAGGGGGCUAGCGUUGCUCGGAAUCACUGGGCGUAAAGCGCACGUAGGCGGCUUACUAAGUCAGGGGUGAAAUCCUGGAGCUCAACUCCAGAACUGCCUUUGAUACUGGUAAGCUCGAGUCCGGGAGAGGUGAGUGGAACUGCGAGUGUAGAGGUGAAAUUCGUAGAUAUUCGCAAGAACACCAGUGGCGAAGGCGGAUCACUGGCCCGGUACUGACGCUGAGGUGCGAAAGCGUGGGGAGCAAACAGG
rnacentral:rRNA from 1 species